AGGUGGAAGAGAUUUGAAGGGUACAAAAGCUAACCCCAAGAAUUUACGGACCGCGCCUCAAUCCAAGGAUCAAACUCUAACCAGAGGAAAUUUAGCACUGAGUAAAAAUGUUGAAAAUGGUAGACCUGUACGAGUUAUCAGAGGAUACAAGUCAAAAAGUCCCUUCGCUCCAGAAGAAGGAUAUAGAUA